rnacentral:rRNA from 1 species
CAGCAGCCGCGGUAAUACGUAGGUGGCAAACGUUGUCCGGAAUUAUUGGGCGUAAAGGGCUCGCAGGCGGUUUCUUAAGUCUGAUGUGAAAGCCCCCGGCUCAACCGGGGAGGGUCAUUGGAAACUGGGAAACUUGAGUGCAGAAGAGGAGAGUGGAAUUCCACGUGUAGCGGUGAAAUGCGUAGAGAUGUGGAGGAACACCAGUGGCGAAGGCGACUCUCUGGUCUGUAACUUACGCUGAGGAGCGAAAGCGUGGGGAGCGAACAGGAUUAGAUACCCGCGUAGUCCCUGUCUCUUAUAC